UACAGAGGUCUCAAGCGUUGUUCGGAUUCAUUGGGCGUAAAGGGUGCGCAGGCGGCGCGGUAAGUCGGGUGUGAAAUCUCGGAGCUUAACUCCGAAACUGCAUUCGAUACUGCCGUGCUUGAGGACUGGAGAGGAGACUGGAAUUUACGGUGUAGCGGUGAAAUGCGUAGAUAUCGUAAGGAAGACCAGUGGCGAAGGCGGGUCUCUGGACAGUUCCUGACGCUGAGGCGCGAAAGUCAGGGGAGCAAACGGG
rnacentral:rRNA from 1 species